AUUGAACGCUGGCGGCAGGCCUAACACAUGCAAGUCGAGCGGAUGAGUGGAGCUUGCUCCAUGAUUCAGCGGCGGACGGGUGAGUAAUGCCUAGGAAUCUGCCUGGUAGUGGGGGACAACGUUUCGAAAGGAACGCUAAUACCGCAUACGUCCUACGGGAGAAAGCAGGGGACCUUUGGGCCUUGCGCUAUCAGAUGAGCCUAGGUCGGAUUAGCUAGUAGGUGAGGUAAUGGCUCACCUAGGCGACGAUCCGUAACUGGUCUGAGAGGAUGAUCAGUCACACUGGAACUGAGACACGGUCCAAACUCCUACGGGAGGCAGCAGUCGGGAAUAUUGGACAAUGGGCGAAAGCCUGAUCCAGCCAUGCCGCGUGUGUGAAGAAGGUCUUCGGAUUGUAAAGCACUUUAAGUUGGGAGGAAGGGCAGUAAGUUAAUACCUUGCUGUUUUGACGUUACCAACAGAAUAAGCACCGGCUAACUUCGUGCCAGCAGCCGCCGUAA
rnacentral:rRNA from 1 species